CAGCAGCCGCGGGAAUACGGAGGGGGCUAGCGUUGUUCGGAAUUACUGGGCGUAAAGCGCACGUAGGCGGCUUUGUAAGUUAGAGGUGAAAGCCUGGAGCUCAACUCCAGAAUUGCCUUUAAGACUGCAUCGCUUGAACACGGGAGAGGUGAGUGGAAUUCCGAGUGUAGAGGUGAAAUUCGUAGAUAUUCGGAAGAACACCAGUGGCGAAGGCGGCUCACUGGCCCGUUGUUGACGCUGAGGUGCGAAAGCGUGGGGAGCAAACAGGAUUAGAUACCCCAGUAGUCCCUGUCUCUUAUAC
rnacentral:rRNA from 1 species